GACGAACGCUGGCGGCGUGCCUAAUACAUGCAAGUCGAACGCAGUGGGGACGGGUGAGUAACACGUGGGUAACCUCCCAUCAGAGGGGAUAACACUUGGAAACAGGUGCUAAACCGAUACUGAUGGAUGGACCCGCGGUGCCUUAGCUAGUUGGUGGGGUAACGGUUCACCAAGGCCACGAUGCAUAGCUGGCAUGAUAGUUGGAUCGGCCACAUUGGAACUGAGACACGGCCCAGAAUCCUACGGGAGGCAGGAGUGGGGAAGCUUGGGAAAUGGACGAAAGUCUGACCGCGCAACGCCGCGUGAGUGAAGAAGGUUUUCGGAUCGUAAAGCUCUGUUGUUAGAGAAGCGGUAUCUAACCAGAAAGCCACGGCUAACUACGUGCCAGCAGCCGCGGUAAUUC
rnacentral:rRNA from 1 species